AACCACUGAUCCGGAGCCAGUUUCCCUCGUCAUUGUCAGGGAAACAUAAAAUGGCCGACAAUGAAACACUGAACUGGGUACAGCGAUGCUAAAGAAAUGACUACGUCAAGUUAUGUUGUGUCUAAAACUUUCUGGAAACGUGUGUCAUAGUUUGAUUUACGUAAACACCGUGUUGUACUUUUUUCCCUACAGUGUCCUUUCUUCUUUUUUUCUCUCUUUUUAACCGUUCCGCCAUAUUGGUCCGGGCAAGACCAAAACGUAAAACGACAUUUGUGUGACAUUGGAUGACGUUCGUCUGUACCAUGGAGAAAUCCUGAGCGUGGCUGUGCAGCUGAGGCCAGGCCAGAGUCUCCAGAGAGGAGACGAUGGAGCUGCAGGCUCUCUUCUCUCGCUGCGCCAGAGCCAGGAUCUGGUCGUCCACCUGCAUCAGAUGUCGGACAUAUUCCAUGAACUUCUCCAUGAUCUGCGCCACAUACAGCACGUCCACCGAGUCCGUGAAGCCCGCGGCCUCCAGCGUGUACGUCCGCACCUGAUGAGCCACCGUGACGGCGUUGGACGCGUUGAUGGGUC